UGGAUAUUCCCGUACCCGAUGUGUGGCGAUGGAGUGACGGAGAAGGCUCAGGCAACCAGCUGCUGGAAUAGCUGGGGCAAGCGAGAUACCUGCGCACCAGGGAAAUCCGGUGCGCGCAGGGGGAAGGCGCGAAGCAUACGGAAAGCUGCGGCAAGUACGGAAAAGCUGAGAGCAGGCUUCCAGGAAAAGCUUCUAGCACAACACGCAUCGGCCCGUACCGAAAAUGGACACACAUGGGCAAGGAGAGAAUCCUGAGGUGAGCGAGAGAACUAUAGCUAAGGAACUCUGCAAAAUGACCCCGUAACUUAGGGAGAAGGGGUGCUCCAGAAAUGGAGCCGCAGUAAAACGGCCCAAGCGACUGUUUACCAAAAACACAGCUCUCUGCGAAGGCGCAAGCCGAAGUAUAGGGGGUGACGCCUGCCCGGUGCUGGAAGGUCAAGGGGAGCUGUCAGCGCAAGCGAAGCAGCGAGCCGAAGCCCCAGUAAACGGCGGCCGUAACUAUAACGGUCCUAAGGUAGCGAAAUUCCUUGUCGGGCAAGUUCCGACCCGCACGAAAGGCGUAACGAUUUGGGCGCUGUCUCAGCUGUAGACUCGGUGAAGUCUUAGUACCUGUGAAGAUGCAGGUUGCCCGCGACUAGACGGAAAGACCCCAUGGAGCUUCACUGCAGGUUGACAUUGGGCUUGGAUGCAUGAUGUACAGGAUAGGUGGGAGGCUGUGAGCCGUGCGCGCCAGCGUACGGGGAGCCGCUGUUGGGAUACCACCCUUCAUGCAUCCAGGUCCUAACCGGAGGCAACGGGCCACGGGACAGUGUCAGUCGGGCAGUUUGACUGGGGCGGUCGCCUCCCAAAGAGUAACGGAGGCGCCCAAAGAUACCCUCAGCAUGGAUGGAAACCAUGUAUAGAGUGCAAAGGCAUAAGGGUGUCUGACUGCGAGACAUACAGGUCGAGCAGGGACGAAAGUCGGGCUUAGUGAUCCGGCGGAUCCGAAUGGAAGGGCCGUCGCUCAACGGGUAAAAGCUACCCUGGGGAUAACAGGCUGAUCUCCCCCAAGAGUUCACAUCGACGGGGAGGUUUGGCACCUCGAUGUCGGCUCAUCGCAUCCUGGAGCUGAAGUCGGUUCCAAGGGUUGGGCUGUUCGCCCAUUAAAGCGGUACGCGAGCUGGGUUCAGAACGUCGUGAGACAGUUCGGUCCCUAUCUGUCGUGGGCGCAGGAGGUUUGAGGAGAGCUGCCCCUAGUACGAGAGGACCGGGGUGGACGGACCGAUGGUGCACCAGUUGUCACGCCAGUGGCACAGCUGGGCAGCCAAGUCCGGACGGGAUAAGCGCUGAAGGCAUCUAAGCGUGAAGCCCCCUCCAAGAUGAGACCUCCCAUUGGCGACAAGUAAGGCCCCUCGAAGACGACGAGGUUGAUAGGCCGCGAGUGCAAGCGCAGCGAUGUGCUUAGCGGGGCGGUACUAAUAGGCCGAGGACUUUGUC
rnacentral:rRNA from 1 species